AUUCCAGCUCUAGUAGUGUAUGUUGAAGUUGCUGCAGUUAAAAAGCUCGUAGUUGGAUUUCGGAACGCGGAGGUCAAAGUCCGUCUCAACGGCGUGGCUCGGUUUCCGCUUCCUAUCUUUAGGUAGAGGCUCUCUUCCUUCACGGGUUGGGAUGUCCGCUCCUAAUCAUUUACUUUGAAAAAAUCCGCGCGCUCAAGGCAGGCGUAACUUGCUAUGAAGAUUACAGCAUGGGAUAAUAGAAUACGACUUUGGUCUUAUUUUGUUGGUUUCUAAGGCUGAGGUAAUGAUUAAUAGGAACAGUUGGGGCCGCUUGUAUUCAGUGGCUAGAGGUGAAAUUCUAGGAUUUACUGAAGACAAACUACUGCGAAAGCAUUCGGCAAGGAUGUUUUCAUC
rnacentral:rRNA from 1 species